UACGGAGGGGGCGAGUGUUGUUCGGAAUUACUGGGCGUAAAGGGCGCGUAGGCGGCCUGCUAAGUCGGAUGUGAAAUCCCUCGGCUCAACCGAGGAACUGCAUCCGAUACUGGCGGGCUUGAAUCCGGGAGAGGGAUGUGGAAUUCCAGGUGUAGCGGUGAAAUGCGUAGAUAUCUGGAGGAACACCGGUGGCGAAGGCGGCAUCCUGGACCGGUAUUGACGCUGAGGCGCGAAAGCUAGGGGAGCAAACGGG
rnacentral:rRNA from 1 species